rnacentral:rRNA from 1 species
UACGUAGGGGGCAAGCGUUGCUCGGAAUCACUGGGCGUAAAGGGCGCGUAGGCGGGAUGGCAAGUCGGUCGUGAAAUCCUUCGGCUCAACCGAAGAACGUCGAUCGAUACUGCCAUUCUUGAGGGAUGCAGAGGAGACUGGAAUUCCCGGUGUAGCGGUGAAAUGUGUAGAGAUCGGGAGGAACACCGGUGGCGAAGGCGGGUCUCUGGGCAUUUCCUGACGCUGAGGCGCGAAAGCGUGGGGAGCAAACGGG